CAAUAUGGGAAAAGUCCCUUGGAAAAGGGCAGCAUAGAGGGUGAUACUCCCGUCUUUGCCCAGGUUGUCUAUGUGUACGAUACGUUUUCUUUGAGUCGAGUUGUUUGGGAAUACAGCUCAAAGUAGGUGGUAAAUUCCAUCUAAAGCUAAAUAUUGGUGCAAGACCGAUAGCGAACAAGUACCGUGAGGGAAAGAUGAAAAGAACUUUGAAAAGAGAGUUAAAGAGUACCUGAAACUGUUGAAAGGGAACCGUAACAUGUCCAGUGUUGUAUCUCUUAUAUAUUCCAUUAGUACAGCAAUGCACUGGUGCCCUGUAUAAGAGUGUGACGUCAAAGUCAGUUUGUAUAUUGCGGGAGAUGGUUAAUAAGGAGGUGCGUCACUUUUGUGUCAGUUAUACCUUGUUAUCUAGUUGCCGUGGUAGAGACUGAGGUGCCUACAACAUGUUUAUCAAGUCUAUGUUUGUCUCGUUAUUUUAUUUGUUUGGAUAGCUUGCUAUGCUAAUGAACUAAAGUAGCGAUUGAUAGAUAUAGUUACUUGUUGCUGUUCGGGACUUUGACGAAAUGGAAUGUUACGACCCGUCUUGAAACACGGACCAAGGAGUCUAACAUGUAUGCAAGUAUUAGGGUGUGGAAACCCAAAUGCGUAAUGAAAGUAAAUGCUACUUGUGUAGCUUUGGUAGGAAAGGGCUGUCAUGGUCCUGGCACUAUCGACCGAUCAUGAACCUACGGGUGAAAGAUUUGAGUAUGAGCAUAUAUGUUGGUACCCGAAAGAUGGUGAACUAUGCCUGAAUAGAGUGAAGCCAGGGGAAACUCUGGUGGAAGCUCGUAGCGAUUCUGACGUGCAAAUCGAUCGUCAAAUUUGGGUAUAGGGGCGAAAGACUAAUCGAACCAUCUAGUAGCUGGUUCCCUCCGAAAUUUCCCUCAGGAUAG
rnacentral:rRNA from 1 species